CUCUGGAACUACAGAAACUGAGCAUUUCACAGUCUGGAUUGAAAUCUGAGACAAGGACUUGUUCUUAACGGCUUAAAGGAUUGCAAGGUGAUCGGUUUAAAGGGUGGAAAUGAAGGCCUGGGAAAAUGGGUUGUUGGGAAAACUGAAGAGGAGAGAUGGGAAGUGGAAAUUUUGGUUUGGGGAAGCAUUUGGGCUGACAAAAUUAGCG
rnacentral:lncRNA from 1 species